rnacentral:rRNA from 1 species
GCAUGGGUUGUGGUGGAAAGCUUUUGCGGUGUGGGAUGGGCCCGCGGCCUAUCAGCUUGUUGGUGGGGUAAUGGCCUACCAAGGCGACGACGGGUAGCCGGCCUGAGAGGGUGACCGGCCACACUGGGACUGAGAUACGGCCCAGACUCCUACGGGAGGCAGCAGUGGGGAAUAUUGCACAAUGGGCGCAAGCCUGAUGCAGCGACGCCGCGUGAGGGAUGACGGCCUUCGGGUUGUAAACCUCUUUCAGUAGGGACGAAGCGCAAGUGACGGUACCUAUAGAAGAAGGACCGGCCAACUACGUGCCAGCAGCCGCGGUAAUACGUAGGGUCCGAGCGUUGUCCGGAAUUACUGGGCGUAAAGAGCUCGUAGGUGGUUUGUCGCGUUGUUCGUGAAAACUCACAGCUCAACUGUGGGCGUGCGGGCGAUACGGGCAGACUUGAGUACUGCAGGGGAGACUGGAAUUCCUGGUGUAGCGGUGGAAUGCGCAGAUAUCAGGAGGAACACCGGUGGCGAAGGCGGGUCUCUGGGCAGUAACUGACGCUGAGGAGCGAAAGCGUGGGGAGCGAACAGGAUUAGAUACCCUGGUAGUCCACGCCGUAAACGGUGGGUACUAGGUGUGGGUUUCCUUCCUUGGGAUCCGUGCCGUAGCUAACGCAUUAAG